rnacentral:rRNA from 1 species
CCUACGGGAGGCAGCAGUGGGGAAUAUUGGACAAUGGGCGAAAGCCUGAUCCAGCCAUGCCGCGUGUGUGAAGAAGGCCUUCGGGUUGUAAAGCACUUUCAGUGGGGAAGAAAGCCUUGGGGCUAAUACCCUCGAGGAAGGACAUCACCCACAGAAGAAGCACCGGCUAACUCCGUGCCAGCAGCCGCGGUAAUACGGAGGGUGCGAGCGUUAAUCGGAAUUACUGAGCGUAAAGCGCGCGUAGGCGGUCUGAUAAGCCGGUUGUGAAAGCCCCGGGCUCAACCUGGGAACGGCAUCCGGAACUGUCAGGCUAGAGUGCAGGAGAGGAAGGUAGAAUUCCCGGUGUAGCGGUGAAAUGCGUAGAGAUCGGGAGGAAUACCAGUGGCGAAGGCGGCCUUCUGGACUGACACUGACGCUGAGGUGCGAAAGCGUGGGUAGCAAACAGGAUUAGAUACCCCUGUAGUC